UCCUACGGGAGGCAGCAGUAGGGAAUCUUCCGCAAUGGACGAAAGUCUGACCGAGCAACGCCGCGUGAGCGAAGAAGGCCUUCGGGUCGUAAAGCUCUGUUGUUAGAGAAGAACAUGGGUGAGAGUAACUGUUCACCCCUUGACGGUAUCUAACCAGAAAGCCACGGCUAACUACGUGCCAGCAGCCGCGGUAAUACGUAGGUGGCAAGCGUUGUCCGGAAUUAUUGGGCGUAAAGCGCGCGCAGGCGGUCUCUUAAGUCUGAUGUGAAAGCCCCCGGCUCAACCGGGGAGGGUCAUUGGAAACUGGGAGACUUGAGUGCAGAAGAGGAAAGUGGAAUUCCAUGUGUAGCGGUGAAAUGCGUAGAGAUAUGGAGGAACACCAGUGGCGAAGGCGACUUUCUGGUCUGUAACUGACACUGAGGCGCGAAAGCGUGGGGAGCAAACAGGAUUAGAUACCCUGGUAGUCCACGCCGUAAACGAUGAGUGCUAAAUGUUAGAGGGUUUCCGCCCUUUAGUGCUGAAGUUAACGCAUUAAGCACUCCGCCUGGGGAGUACGGCCGCAAGGCUGAAACUCAAAGGAA
rnacentral:rRNA from 1 species